rnacentral:rRNA from 1 species
GACAGAGGAUGCAAGCGUUAUCCGGAAUGAUUGGGCGUAAAGCGUCUGUAGGUGGCUUUUAAGUCCGCCGUCAAAUCCCAGGCUCAACCCUGGACAGGCGGUGGAAACUACCAAGCUGGAGUACGGUAGGGCAGAGGGAAUUUCCGGUGGAGCGGUGAAAUGACGUAGAGAUCGGAAAGAACACCAACGGCGAAAGCACUCU